AAGCCGCCGAACGGCGUUUGUUAGGCUCCGGGGGCCUUCCACGGGGGAAGUCCGGUGAGAGUCCGGCGCUGACCCGCAACGGUGUGCGCGACGACCUGAUGGUCCGUCACGUGAGCCCGAUCGCCCGUGGUGGGCAGCGACCCGUU
rnacentral:ncRNA from 1 species